rnacentral:rRNA from 1 species
CCUUCGGGAGCUAAUAUACAGGUGCUGCACGGCUGUCGUCAGCUCGUGUCGUGAGAUGUUGGGUUAAGUCCCGCAACGAGCGCAACCCUCGUCACUAGUUACUAACGGUUCGGCCGAGGACUCUAGUGAGACUGCCUUCGCAAGGAGGAGGAAGGUGAGGACGACGUCAAGUCAUCAUGGCCCUUACGGCUAGGGCAACACACGUGCUACAAUGGCCAGGACAAUGAGACGCGAUACCGCGAGGUGGAGCAAAUCUAUAAACCUGGUCUCAGUUCGGAUUGUUCUCUGCAACUCGAGAACAUGAAGCUGGAAUCACUAGUAAUCGUAGAUCAGCUAUGCUACGGUGAAUACGUUCCCGGGUCUUGUACUCACCGCCCGUCACACCAUGGGAGUUGAUUUCACCCGAAGCGGGGAAGCUAAACUGGCUACCCUCCACGGUGGAAUUAGCGACUGGGGUGAAGUCGUAACAAGGUA